CAACAGGGAUUGCCCUAGUAACGGCGAGUGAAGCGGCAACAGCUCAAAUUUGAAAUCUGGCUCUCGGGCCCGAGUUGUAAUUUGUAGAGGAUGCUUUUGGUGCGGUGCCUUCCGAGUUCCCUGGAACGGGACGCCAUAGAGGGUGAGAGCCCCGUCUGGUUGGAUGCCAAUCCUCUGUAAAGCUCCUUCGACGAGUCGAGUAGUUUGGGAAUGCUGCUCUAAAUGGGAGGUAUAUGUCUUCUAAAGCUAAAUACCGGCCAGAGACCGAUAGCGCACAAGUAGAGUGAUCGAAAGAUGAAAAGAACUUUGAAAAGAGAGUUAAAAAGUACGUGAAAUUGUUGAAAGGGAAGCGCUUGUGACCAGACUUGGGCUUGGUUGAUCAUCCAGGGUUCUCCCUGGUGCACUCUUCCGGCUCAGGCCAGCAUCAGUUCGCCGCGGGGGACAAAGACGCCGGGAAUGUGGCUCCCUCCGGGGAGUGUUAUAGCCCAGCGUGUAAUACCCUGAGGCGGACUGAGGUUCGCGCAUUCGCAAGGAU
rnacentral:rRNA from 1 species